AUGGCCGCAGUAUUUUGACUGUGCAAAGGUAGCAUAAUUAUUAGUUUUUUAAUUGAAAGCUUGUAUGAAGGGUUGGACGAGAUAAAAUCUGUCUUUAUUUAAAUUAAAAUAGAAUUUAACUUUUAAGUCAAAAGGCUUAAAUGUUUAUAAAAGACGAGAAGACCCUAUAGAUCUUUAUUAAAUUUAAAUUUUGAUAAUUUAAGAUUAUUUUAAUUUGAAGUUUAAAUUUAAUUUUAUUGGGGUAAUAUAAAGAUUAAAUAAAUUCUUUUUAUUAAUUACAUUAAUUUAUGUAUAUAUGAUCCAUUAUUAUUGAUUAUAAGAUUAAGUUACCUUAGGGAUAACAGCGUAAUUUUUUUAGAGAGCUCAUAUCGAUAAAAAAGUUUGCGACCUCGAUGUUGGAUUAAAAAUUAGCUUGGGUGCAGAAGCUCAAGAUUUUGGUCUGUUCGACCAUUAAAUUUUUACAUGAUCUGAGUUCAGACCGGCGUAAGCCAGGUCGGUUUCUAUCUUUAUUUAAAUAAAAUAUUUUAGUACGAAAGGACCAAGUAUUUAAUAUAAUUAUAUUUAUUUUUUGAAUAAUAUU
rnacentral:rRNA from 2 species